rnacentral:rRNA from 1 species
AUGAACGCUAGCUACAGGCUUAACACAUGCAAGUCGAGGGGCAGCAUGGUCUUAGCUUGCUAAGGCCGAUGGCGACCGGCGCACGGGUGAGUAACGCGUAUCCAACCUGCCUUACACUCUUGGACAGCCUUCUGAAAGGGAGAUUAAUACAAGAUGUUAUCAUGAGUAAGCAUUUUCGCAUGAUUAAAGGUUUACCGGUGUAAGAUGGGGAUGCGUUCCAUUAGAUAGUAGGCGGGGUAACGGCCCACCUAGUCUUCGGUGGAUAGGGGUUCUGAGAGGAAGGUCCCCCACAUUGGAACUGAGACACGGUCCAAACUCCUACGGGAGGCAGCAGUGAGGAAUAUUGGUCAAUGGACGAGAGUCUGAACCAGCCAAGUAGCGUGAAGGAUGAAGGUUCUAUGGAUUGUAAACUUCUUUUAUACGGGAAUAAACGGAUCCACGUGUGGAUUUUUGCAUGUACCGUAUGAAUAAGGAUCGGCUAACUCCGUGCCAGCAGCCGCGGUAAUACGGAGGAUCCGAGCGUUAUCCGGAUUUAUUGGGUUUAAAGGGAGCGUAGAUGGGUUGUUAAGUCAGUUGUGAAAGUUUGCGGCUCAACCGUAAAAUUGCAAUUGAUACUGGCAGUCUUGAGUACAGUUGAGGUAGGCGGAAUUCGUGGUGUAGCGGUGAAAUGCUUAGAUAUCACGAAGAACUCCGAUUGCGAAGGCAGCUUACUAACCUGUAACUGACAUUGAUGCUCGAAAGUGUGGGUAUCAAACAGGAUUAGAUACCCUGGUAGUCCACACGGUAAACGAUGAAUACUCGCUGUAGGCGAUAUACAGUCUGCGGCCAAGCGAAAGCAUUAAGUAUUCCACCUGGGGAGUACGCCGGCAACGGUGAAACUCAAAGGAAUUGACGGGGGCCCGCACAAGCGGAGGAACAUGUGGUUUAAUUCGAUGAUACGCGAGGAACCUUACCCGGGCUUAAAUUGCAACCGAAUAUGGCGGAAACGCUAUAGCUAGCAAUAGCGGUUGUGAAGGUGCUGCAUGGUUGUCGUCAGCUCGUGCCGUGAGGUGUCGGCUUAAGUGCCAUAACGAGCGCAACCCUUGCCGAUAGUUACUAACAGGUUAUGCUGAGGACUCUGUCGGGACUGCCAUCGUAAGAUGUGAGGAAGGUGGGGAUGACGUCAAAUCAGCACGGCCCUUACGUCCGGGGCUACACACGUGUUACAAUGGGGGGUACAGAGGGCUGCUACCACGCAAGUGGAUGCCAAUCCCAAAAACCUCUCUCAGUUCGGAUUGAAGUCUGCAACCCGACUUCAUGAAGCUGGAUUCGCUAGUAAUCGCGCAUCAGCCACGGCGCGGUGAAUACGUUCCCGGGCCUUGUACACACCGCCCGUCAAGCCAUGGGAGCCGGGGGUACCUGAAGUGCGUAACCGCAAGGAGCGCCCUAGGGUAAAACUGGUGACUGGGGCU